rnacentral:lncRNA from 1 species
UGUUGAUAUCGUCCCUAUGAAGCGAUAAAAUUAGUGAUGGAAAUUUGUUAUAGUGGCAAAGUCAAACUCGCUGAUUUCUAGUUUUCGAAAAAAACAACUCGUUGAUCUCUAUGGAGCAUAAAAAAAAUAUUGAAGAAUUGAAAUCUAAUGUAUUAAUAUGGGAAGUCCAUUGAAUGGUAGCCUUCGAUUGCUGGGUGAG